UCAAUAUGGAGGAUCACUUAGUCCUUAAAGCGAUGAAAAACGUAGUAAUUUGUGGAAACUGGUGUGAGUUGUGAAAUUUUGUGAGCAUUGUGUUUUUGAAUGAAAACUUCAGUAGAGAUGCCAAAGUAUCUCUGCUACACUUGUUUCAGUAUAUUAAACGAAGCAAUAAGUAAUUACUAUUGCUG
rnacentral:rRNA from 1 species